rnacentral:rRNA from 1 species
CCUACGGGUGGCUGCAGUGGGGAAUAUUGCACAAUGGGGGAAACCCUGAUGCAGCGACGCCGCGUGAGUGAAGAAGUAAUUCGUUAUGUAAAGCUCUAUCAGCAGGGAAGAAGAUGACGGUACCUGAGUAAGAAGCCCCGGCUAACUACGUGCCAGCAGCCGCGGUAAUACGUAGGGGGCAAGCGUUAUCCGGAUUUACUGGGUGUAAAGGGAGCGUAGACGGCGCGGCAAGCCUGAUGUGAAAGCCCGGGGCGCAACCGCGGGACUGCAUUUGGAACUGUCGGGCUGGAGUGUCGGAGAGGUAGGCGGAAUUCCUAGUGUAGCGGUGAAAUGCGUAGAUAUUAGGAGGAACACCAGUGGCGAAGGCGGCCUACUGGACGGUGACUGACGCUGAGGCUCGAAAGCGUGGGGAGCAAACAGGAUUAGAUACCCCAGUAGUC